UUGGUAGAAUACUAUGAAGUUCUAGGCAUGUAGAGACAUGCCCACCUGGCUCCCCCCGCUCCAAGGUUAUUAAAGAGGCAUAUUGGAAACUGGCACCAAAGUGGCAUCCAGAUAAAAAUCCUGAGAAUAGAGAAGAAACAGAAAAUUCCGACAAGUAGCUGAAGCAUAUGAGAUAUUAUCAGAUGCUAAAAAAUGGGACAUCUGUGACAAAUAUGGCAGAGAAAUUAAAUGGUGGAGGAGGAGUUGGAAGUCAUUUUGACAGUUCGUUUUAGUUUGGCGUCACAUUCCUGUAACCCAGAUGAUGCCUUCAGGGACAUUUUUGGUGGAAGGGACCCAUUUUUAUUCAACUUCUAUGAAAACUCAUUUGAGGACUUUUUUGGGGAAUCAAAGGGGUUCCUGAAGAAGCAGAAGCUGAGGAACAGUCAUUUUUCUCCACCUUGAUUGGAUUUCCAUGUUUUGGAAGUGGAUUUUCUUCUUUUGAUACACAAUUUGCUUCAUUCAAUCAUGAGGUCAUGGAGGCCUCACUUCAUUUUCCUCCAUGUUAUUUGGUGGUAGUGCCAUGGGCAGCUUCAAAUUUGUAUCAACUUAUACCUAAAAUAGUUGAUGGCAGAAAAUCACUACAAAGAGAAUUGUUGAAAAGGGUCAAGAAAGA
rnacentral:lncRNA from 1 species